rnacentral:miRNA from 2 species
UUUCCUGCAGUGUGACAUCCUG